rnacentral:rRNA from 1 species
GGGGAAUAUUGGACAAUGGGCGCAAGCCUGAUCCAGCCAUGCCGCGUGAGUGAUGAAGGCCCUAGGGUUGUAAAGCUCUUUCACCGGUGAAGAUAAUGACGGUAACCGGAGAAGAAGCCCCGGCUAACUUCGUGCCAGCAGCCGCGGUAAUACGAAGGGGGCUAGCGUUGUUCGGAAUUACUGGGCGUAAAGCGCACGUAGGCGGAUAUUUAAGUUAGGGGUGAAAUCCCAGGGCUCAACCCUGGAACUGCCUCUAAUACUGGGUAUCUCGAGUCCGAGAGAGGUGAGUGGAAUUCCGAGUGUAGAGGUGAAAUUCGUAGAUAUUCGGAGGAACACCAGUGGCGAAGGCGGCUCACUGGCUCGGUACUGACGCUGAGGUGCGAAAGCGUGGGGAGCAAAC